rnacentral:misc_RNA from 1 species
GUUUUUAUAGAUUUCUUACGUCUAUGUUACAAUAUUUAUACUGAAUUCUUUUGGUAAAUAAUAAUCUGGGUACCAGACCUAAGUCUGAUUAUGGCUCGGUUAACAUUCUGUUGGCUUACCCAUAUAGCCAGCAGACAUUCCUCAAACGCCAAAUAAUAAUACAGUUCACAGUAAAUAAAAUAUUACUAGCCGAGGGCUAGAAUAUCAAAUUAUUUAAUGAUCCUUCCGCAGGUUCACCUACGGAAA